UACGUAGGGUGCGAGCUUUGCCCGGAUUUAUUGGGCGUAAAGGGCGCGUAGGCGGCCCCGCACGUCCGUUGUGAAAUCGCUCGGCUCAACUGGGCGGGGUCAGCGGAUACGGAGUGGCUGGAGCAAGCUAGGGGGCAAUGGAAUUCCCGGUGUAGUGGUGGAAUGCGUAGAUAUCGGGAGGAACACCAGUGGCGAAGGCGGUUGCCUGGAGCUUUGCUGACGCUGAUGCGCGAAAGCGUGGGGAGCGAUCCGG
rnacentral:rRNA from 1 species